GCGUAAAGAGCAUGCAGGCGGGUGAAUAAGUUGGAAGUGAAAUCCUAUAGCUUAACUAUAGAACUGCUUCCAAAACUGUUCACCUAGAGUAUGGGAGAGGUAGAUGGAAUUUCUGGUGUAGGGGUAAAAUCCGUAGAGAUCAGAAGGAAUACCGAUUGCGAAGGCGAUCUACUGGAACAUUACUGACGCUCAGAUGCGAAAGCGUGGGGAGCAAACAGGAUUAGAUACCCUGGUAGUCCACGCCCUAAACGAUGUACACUAGUUGUUGCUAUACUAGAUAUGGCAGUAAUGCAGUUAACACUUUAAGUGUACCGCCUGGGGAGUACGGUCGCAAGAUUAAAACUCAAAGGAAUAGACGGGGACCCGCACAAGCGGUGGAGCAUGUGGUUUAAUUCGACGAUACGCGAAAAACCUUACCUGGCCUUGACAUAGUAGGAAUCUUUAAGAGAUUAGAGAGUGCUAGCUUGCUAGAACCUACAUACAGGUGCUGCACGGCUGUCGUCAGC
rnacentral:rRNA from 1 species